rnacentral:lncRNA from 10 species
UUUAACAGACAAGGACAUUGAGGCUCAGUAAGGUGAGAUGACUUGCUCCAGAUCACACAGGGUUGAAGCUGAAAUUUUAAUCUAGAGUCCAGUUCCAGAAUCUGUGCUUAUAAACUGUGCUGUGCUGUAUUUGCUUUAAGAAUAUAAGGGUCAUUUCCUGCUUGAAUAAUCAAGGAAGGCAUGAUGGAAAAGUUAGGGGGCAUCAUAAAACCCAAAGACAAUUCUGAUCAUAUUUUUACUUCAACACUUCUACAGGAAAGAAAGCCUUCCCAUCACUAAUAGGGCAGUGAUUGCAUUUGCAACCCAUUCUUGCCAAAGAGAAAUUCGGAAGCACACUUCAAGGAACUAAGUUCAGUGAUAAUCACACUUGAUUGAUUUUCAGUACUGUCACAGUUUGAGAACUAUUUAUUGCCCUGAUUUGCUCUUUUCUCUGCCCUGUAUUAAAGAUCUUGCAUGACAGU